rnacentral:rRNA from 1 species
CGGACGGGUGAGUAAUGCUUGGGAAUCUGGCUUAUGGAGGGGGAUAACUACGGGAAACUGUAGCUAAUACCGCGUAGUAUCGGAAGAUGAAAGUGUGGGACCGCAAGGCCACAUGCCAUGAGAUGAGCCCAAGUGGGAUUAGGUAGUUGGUUAGGUAAAGGCUGACCAAGCCGACGAUCUCUAGCUGGUCUGAGAGGAUGACCAGCCACACUGGAACUGAGACACGGUCCAGACUCCUACGGGAGGCAGCAGUGGGGAAUAUUGCACAAUGGGGGGAACCCUGAUGCAGCCAUGCCGCGUGAAUGAAGAAGGCCUUCGGGUUGUAAAGUUCUUUCGGUGAUGAGGAAGGCGGUUGUUUUAAUAGAACAAUCGAUUGACGUUAGUCACAGAAGAAGCACCGGCUAACUCCGUGCCAGCAGCCGCGGUAAUACGGAGGGUGCGAGCGUUAAUCGGAAUAACUGGGCGUAAAGGGCACGCAGGCGGUGACUUAAGUGAGAUGUGAAAGCCCCGAGCUUAACUUGGGAAUUGCAUUUCAUACUGGGUCGCUAGAGUACUUUAGGGAGGGGUAGAAUUCCACGUGUAGCGGUGAAAUGCGUAGAGAUGUGGAGGAAUACCGAAGGCGAAGGCAGCCCCUUGGGAAUGUACUGACGCUCAUGUGCGAAAGCGUGGGGAGCAAACAGGAUUAGAUACCCUGGUAGUCCACGCUGUAAACGCUGUCGAUUUGGGGAUUGGGCUUUGAGCUUGGUGCUCGUAGCUAACGUGAUAAAUCGACCGC